rnacentral:rRNA from 1 species
AUUGAACGCUGGCGGCAUGCUUUACACAUGCCAGUCGAACGGCAGCGCGGGGCAACCUGGCGGCGAGUGGCGCACGGGUGAGUAAUAUAUCGGAACGUACCCAGAAGUGGGGGAUAACGUAGCGAAAGUUACGCUAAUACCGCAUACGAUCUACGGAUGAAAGUAGGGGACCGCAAGGCCUUAUGCUUUUGGAGCGGCCGAUAUCUGAUUAGCUAGUUGGUGAGGUAAAGGCUCACCAAGGCGACGAUCAGUAGCUGGUCUGAGAGGACGACCAGCCACACUGGAACUGAGACACGGUCCAGACUCCUACGGGAGGCAGCAGUGGGGAAUUUUGGACAAUGGGCGCAAGCCUGAUCCAGCAAUGCCGCGUGAGUGAAGAAGGCCUUCGGGUUGUAAAGCUCUUUUGUCAGGGAAGAAACGGUAGAGGCUAAUAUCCUUUGCUAAUGACGGUACCUGAAGAAUAAGCACCGGCUAACUACGUG